rnacentral:lncRNA from 1 species
UUUGUCUAAUUGUCCUUGUUAUUUUAAUUGGCCACCGCCCUUCCUUGUCCAUUCACACUGACUGAUUCAGCUAAUUAUAUUCUAAACCUGUCCCUUCUGGCCGAGGGCAAGGCAGGCCUGAUGUGUCCUCAGCUGCUGAGGAGAGGGAAGCCACCGGAAGAGGCAGCCAGCCCAGCCGGAGGUUGAUGGAGGGAGGCAGCCAAGCAUCCACCCACCCAUUCAUCCAUCCAUCCAUCCACCCACCCACCCAUCCAUCCAUUCAUUCAUCCAUCCAUCCAGAGGCUCUAGCUGCCUCUGUGCGUUAGAGAUGCUUCUAAAGUUGAGAAUUGCCUGGAAGUCAGUAGCAUCAUCCUCUGUCCUGAGUACCCACACAGAGGGCCCUGGGAGACAGUAGAACCAUCCCCUGUCCUGAGACCCACACAGAGGGCUCUGGGAGACAGUAGAACCAUCCCCUGUCCUGAGACCCACACAGAGGGCCCUGGGAGACAGUAGAACCAUCCUCUGUCCUGAGACCCACACAGAGGGCCCUGGGAGACAGUAGAACCAUCCCCUGUCCUGAGACCCACACAGAGGGCCCUGGGAGACAGUAGAACCAUCCUCUGUCCUGAGUACCCACACAGAGGGCUCUGGGCCUCGGGGCAGGGCUCUGCCUCACUGCAAAGCCAAGAGCAGGAAGGAAGUUUGGGUCUAUUCUGCAGUCAGCUUAGGACCACAGCAUUCCCAGGCAUUGGAACAGGAGGCAUCCGGGCCUGGGCAUGGGGCUCAGUUGGCAGACUGCUUGCCUAGCACAGACAAGACCCUGGUUUCAAGCAGCACGGGACAUGUAGGUGCACACCUAUAAUUCCAGCAGUUAGGUGGAGACAGGGAAAUCAGAAUGUUGGAGUUACCCUCAGUUACAUGGGGGAGUGUUAAAGCCAGCCUAAGGUACACCAGAUGUGGCCGGGAAUGUCUCAUGGGAUUGUCCAUGUGCCUGUCCUUCAAGGAGGGAUUGGGGAGGCCACACUGUGUUUGAUUAGCUCCCCUGAGGGAGCUCCCCCUCCAUGCCCGUGAGGCCAAGGUGUGGAUCACAAGCAUAUGGGGUGGGAAACAGGGUGACAGGAAUUUGGGGGUGUCUCAGGUAGCCUGAGAAUGCCUUGCUUGCGGCUGGCACUCACCAGGGUUCUGCCCACACAGGAAAGCAGUGGACCCUGGAGACCUUUGAUUCCAGGUUUCAGCAUCUCCCAGGGCCACUGCCAGAGCUGCUCAGGUCCAAGGCAGGAGAACAAGAGAGGAGAUGGAAAGCUAGUCCUCCUGUGGACAGGUUUAUCCACACCUGACCCCAGGAUUGUGGCUGUGUUCAGUGCCUCAGCCCAGCUGUUGCAGGAUGAGAAAUCUCGUUAACUUAAAAAAAAAAAAAAAAAAGCAUUAAUUGAAUAAGGAGAGAACCCCUGCCCCCUUGAUCAUAUACUCUUUUAGACAAACCAUAUGUCUUGGGUCAUCUUCUAACAAGAAUGCAAUAAUGGUGCUUUUCUGCAAAAUCUAAGC